rnacentral:rRNA from 1 species
GAUGAACGCUAGCGAUAGGCUUAACACAUGCCAGUCGAGGGGCAGCAUGGUCUUAGCUUGCUAAGGCUGAUGGCGACCGGCGCACGGGUGCGUAACGCGUAUGCAACUUGCCUCACAGAGGGGGAUAACCCGUCGAAAGACGGACUAAUACCGCGUACACUCUAUGUUGGGCAUCCAAUGUAGAGGAAAUGAAAUUCGCUGUGAGAUAGGCAUGCGUCCCAUUAGCUAGUUGGUGAGGUAACGGCUCACCAAGGCGACGAUGGGUAGGGGAACUGAGAGGUUGAACCCCCACACUGGUACUGAGACACGGACCAGACUCCUACGGGAGGCAGCAGUGAGGAAGAUUGGUCAAUGGGCGAGAGCCUGAACCAGCCAAGUCGCGUGAAGGAUGACUGUCUUAUGGAUUGUAAACUUCUUUUAUACGGGAAUAACAAGAGUCACGUGUGGCUCCCUGCAUGUACCGUAUGAAUAAGCAUCGGCUAACUCCGUG